CAAAACAAAAUAGAGAAACAGUACUUUAAAGUUUGAAAUAAUACCUUGUAAACUACAUACUAGUAAGUGUCAUACUUUCAAUAGAGUAUAUAAAUGCAUUUUAUUUCCAUUCUGGCUAUUUUCUGUGGAUUAUACAUUUCCAUGGAUUAUCUGCAUGAAAUUACAGUAAAUUAAAAAAUAAAUUAAGAAGAUAAAUGAAAAUUUUAAAAAUAAAUAUCCCUAAUCUAUUUUCUGUUGUUCUAAUGUGUAUAAAAUUUCAAUAUUUGAUUUAUCAUCACUUUUCAAAAUAACAGAAAAUGCAAGAUACAUGUGAAUUUAUUUUCAUAUUAGAUAUAGUAUUUUUUGAAAAGGCAAAGAGGAAACAUGUUAAAAUUCUGAUUGGAUACAAAAAUAAUGUCAUAGUUGAUGUCACGAGCAACCAAGCGGAAACAAACUUGCAACUACAUUAAUUAACCAUUCCAAUGUUAUGUUGCAAGAAAUUGUGAUGUCCAGUUGUGUUCUGUCUUAGGUCUUGUUUGUCACGGUCAACUGACUGUGAUAAAUAUAAAGAUGAUCUUUUACGUGUUUAUUCAUUUUUGUUUUUUAAUAUACAUUUAUUCGUUUAUCAUACAUUAUUUGAUAAUUUGAAACUUAUGAUAAGAUAGUGACGAGGAGAAAGUAUCCAGAAAAGAAUUAUUGAUAGGUAAGAGACGAGAGAGAAAAGAAUCGAAGAAGGACAAAGGUUACGUGGCCUUUGAAGGCGAAAGUUCAGAAGAUGAAAUGGAUGAAA